AUUGAACGCUGGCGGCAGGCCUAACACAUGCAAGUCGAGCGAGCGGCGGACGCGUGUGUAUUGUCUGGGAAACUGCCUGAUGGAGGGGGAUAACAACUGUAGACAGUAGCUAAUACCGCAUACCAUCAGAUGUGCCCAGAUGGGAUUAGCAAGUAGGGGGGGUAAUGGCUCACCUAGGCGACGAUCCCUAGCUGGUCUGAGAGGAGGACCAGCACAACUGGAACUGAGACACGGUCCAGACUCCUACGGGAGGAAGCAGUGGGGAAUAUUGCACAAUGGGGGCAAGCCGGAUGAAGCCAUGCGGCGUGUAUGAAGAAGGCCUCCGGGUUUGAAAGUACUUUCAGCGGGGAGGCGUUACCCGCAGAAGAAGCACCGGCUAACUCCGUGCCAGCAGCCGCGGUAAUAC
rnacentral:rRNA from 1 species